GAUGAAGAACGUAGCAAAAUGCGAUACUUGGUGUGAAUUGCAGAAUCCCGUGAACCAUCGAGUUUUUGAACGCAAGUUGCGCCCGAAGCCAUUCGGCCGAGGGCACGUCUGCCUGGGUGUCACGCAUCGUUGCCCCCCCAAACUCCGGUUCGGGCGGGGCGGAAGUUGGCCUCCCGUGCGUGCCUGCGCGCGCGGUUAGCCCAAAAGCGAGUCCUCGGCGAUGAGCGCCACGACAAUCGGUGGUUUUUUUACCCUCGUUCCUCGUCGUGCGUGCCCCGUCGCCCGAACGCGCUCUUGCAACCCUUACGCGUCGCCUCGGUGGCGCUCCCAACGCGACCCCAGGUCAGGCGGGACUACCCGCUGAGUUUAAGCAUAUCAAUAAGCGGAGGA
rnacentral:misc_RNA from 1 species